ACAGCUUGGAUAACUCGGGGGAGAGAGAUGAAAAAUUAUCCAGGUCCAUCAGUUUUACUCGUGAAUUACUAAAUUGGGUUUCAGAAACAGAGUCACUUGAUGGGAAUUCAGCAAGGAGGCUUAGGGAAAGAGGAGCCCCAAAGAGAGAAACAGAUCAAAAAGAGUCCUUUACUAACUUCACCAAAGAGGUUAAGUAGAGUACCAUCAAAAUCACUGGACUUGAAUAAAAAUGAGUAUCUUUCUCUGGACAAAAGCAGCACUUCAGAUUCUUUUGAUGAAGAAAAUAUUCCUGAGAAAGAUCUUCAUGGAAGACUUUAUAUCAACCGUGUUUUUCAUAUCGGUGCUGAGAGAAUGUUUGAGUUGCUGUUCACCAGUUCACGCUUUAUGCAGAAGUUUGCCAAUUCUAGAAAUGUAAUAUAGUAUCUACCCCUUGGACUGCAGAAACUGGAGGUGAUCAACUGAGAACCAUGACCUACACUAUAGUCCUUAAUAAUCCACUUUCCGGGAAAUGCACCACCGCUACGGAAAAGCAGACACUGAAUAAAGAAAGUCGGGAAGCACGGUUUUAUUUGGUAGAUUCAGAAGUAACGACACAUGAUGUCCCCUACCAUGGUUACUUCUAUACCCUGAAUAGAUACUGUAUCAUCCGAUCUGCAAGACACAAAUGCGGUCUAAGAGUUUCCACAGAUUUGAAAUACAGAAAACAACCAUGGGGCCUCGUCAGAUCUUUAAUUGAGAAGAAUACCUGGAGCUCAUUGGAAGACUAUUUCAAACAGCUUGAAUCAGAUUUGUUAGUAGAAGAAUCUAUAUUAAAUCAGUCCACUGAAGACCCUGGAAAACUUAGCAGCCUACGAAGGAGAAGGCGACCAUUCAACCGAACGGAAACAGUAGCUAAACUUUCUUCUCAGUGUUCCCCUGAAGAUGUGGGCUUAGAGACCAAAAUGGGGAUUACAGGAAAGAAAAAGGAAGUGGAAAGCUGUAGUACUGUUAUUGUGGUGAUGAGUAUUUUUGUGCUGGUGCUGGUUUUGUUGAAUGUGAUGCUGUUCCUGAAGCUGUCAAAGAUAGAGUAUGCUGCUCAGUCCUUUUACCGCCUCCACCUCCAAGAAGAGAAGUCUUUACAUUUAGCUUCUGCUAUGGUGUCCAGAGCCGAAAAUAUUCCAAAAAACAAAGAUCAGACCCAUCGUUUAAAAGGAGUGCUCCGAGACUCCAUAGUCAUGCUUGAACAGCCGAAGAGCUCACUUAUUAUGCUUCAGAAAACUUUUGAUCUACUAAAUAAGAAUAAGACUGGCAUGGCUGUUGAAAGCUAGUGGAUUUUAAGGACUGAAACUGUAGAGAUACUUGCAACUAAAAGAAAACAACUGGAAGAAAACCAGUGGAUGAAGGAUUUUGUCAUAGGAAUAUUUCUGUUUUCUCAUUAAGA